UACGGAGGGUGCGAGCGUUGUCCGGAAUCACUGGGCGUAAAGGGCGCGUAGGUGGCUCGUGAAGCGUGCGGUGAAAGUCCGAGGCUCAACCUCGGAUCGGCCGUGCGGACUCGCGGGCUGGAGCGCUGUAGAGGCGGGUGGAAUUCCGGGUGUAGCGGUGGAAUGCGUAGAGAUCCGGAAGAACACCAGUGGCGAAGGCGGCCCGCUGGGCAGUGGCUGACGCUGAGGCGCGACAGCGUGGGGAGCAAACAGG
rnacentral:rRNA from 1 species